CGAUGAAGCCCUUCGGGGUGGAUUAGUGGCGAACGGGUGAGUAACACGUGGGCAAUCUGCCCUUCACUCUGGGACAAGCCCUGGAAACGGGGUCUAAUACCGGAUAACACUCUGUCCCGCAUGGGACGGGGUUAAAAGCUCCGGCGGUGAAGGAUGAGCCCGCGGCCUAUCAGCUUGUUGGUGGGGUAAUGGCCUACCAAGGCGACGACGGGUAGCCGGCCUGAGAGGGCGACCGGCCACACUGGGACUGAGACACGGCCCAGACUCCUACGGGAGGCAGCAGUGGGGAAUAUUGCACAAUGGGCGAAAGCCUGAUGCAGCGACGCCGCGUGAGGGAUGACGGCCUUCGGGUUGUAAACCUCUUUCAGCAGGGAAGAAGCGAAAGUGACGGUACCUGCAGAAGAAGCGCCGGCUAACUACGUGCCAGCAGCCGCGGUAAUACGUAGGGCGCAAGCGUUGUCCGGAAUUAUUGGGCGUAAAGAGCUCGUAGGCGGCUUGUCACGUCGGAUGUGAAAGCCCGGGGCUUAACCCCGGGUCUGCAUUCGAUACGGGCUAGCUAGAGUGUGGUAGGGGAGAUCGGAAUUCCUGGUGUAGCGGUGAAAUGCGCAGAUAUCAGGAGGAACACCGGUGGCGAAGGCGGAUCUCUGGGCCAUUACUGACGCUGAGGAGCGAAAGCGUGGGGAGCGAACAGGAUUAGAUACCCUGGUAGUCCACGCCGUAAACGUUGGGAACUAGGUGUUGGCGACAUUCCACGUCGUCGGUGCCGCAGCUAACGCAUUAAGUUCCCCGCCUGGGGAGUACGGCCGCAAGGCUAAAACUCAAAGGAAUUGACGGGGGCCCGCACAAGCAGCGGAGCAUGUGGCUUAAUUCGACGCAACGCGAAGAACCUUACCAAGGCUUGACAUAUACCGGAAAGCAUCAGAGAUGGUGCCCCCCUUGUGGUCGGUAUACAGGUGGUGCAUGGCUGUCGUCAGCUCGUGUCGUGAAAUGUUGGGUUAAGUCCCGCAACGAGCGCAACCCUUGUUCUGUGUUGCCAGCAUGCCCUUCGGGGUGAUGGGGACUCACAGGAGACUGCCGGGGUCAACUCGGAGGAAGGUGGGGACGACGUCAAGUCAUCAUGCCCCUUAUGUCUUGGGCUGCACACGUGCUACAAUGGCCGGUACAAUGAGCUGCGAUGCCGCGAGGCGGAGCGAAUCUCAAAAAGCCGGUCUCAGUUCGGAUUGGGGUCUGCAACUCGACCCCAUGAAGUCGGAGUUGCUAGUAAUCGCAGAUCAGCAUUGCUGCGGUGAAUACGUUCCCGGGCCUUGUACACACCGCCCGUCACGUCACGAAAGUCGGUAAC
rnacentral:rRNA from 1 species